rnacentral:rRNA from 1 species
AUGACUUCUAUGCACAGAGUUCUGCUAUCUGGCGCCAGCUUGAUUCUCUCCGCAGUGCUGGUUGUCGUACCUGCCCCUGUUGCCAGGCUGUCCAGGCCAAUUUGGAGUUUCAUCGCGUCUAUGAGUUCCUGUCUCGGCUCCGUAAGGAGUUUGAGCCCCGGCGUGCUCAGUUGUUUGCUUGUGGCCGUAUUUCUCUCAUGGAGGCGCUUUCUGAGAUUCGUGCUGAGGAGACUCGCUUACGUGGUGCUGGUUUGCUGGAGGUUCCCUCUGUGCUCGCUACUCGUGCUCCUACGCCACCUGCUGCACCGACCCCUUCUCGCUCGAGUGCUCCGCCGCUCUUGCCCACUCCUUCUGGAGGCUCAGGUCGCCCCCGUCCACAUUGCGACUACUGCAACAAUGAUGGUCAUCUUGAGUCUCAAUGCUACACGAAGAAGAAACACCUGCGCAAGGCGCGAUAAUCAUCUUCAGGGACUUCGUCAUCUACCUCAACAGCUUCAGCCAUUACUUUGA